rnacentral:rRNA from 1 species
UACGUAGGUGGCAAGCGUUGUCCGGAAUUAUUGGGCGUAAAGCGCGCGCAGGCGGUCCUUUAAGUCUGAUGUGAAAGCCCACGGCUCAGCCGUGGAGGGUCAUUGGAAACUGGGGGACUUGAGUGCAGAAGAGGAAAGCGGAAUUCCACGUGUAGCGGUGAAAUGCGUAGAGAUGUGGAGGAACACCAGUGGCGAAGGCGGCUUUCUGGUCUGUAACUGACGCUGAGGCGCGAAAGCGUGGGGAGCAAACAGG